rnacentral:lncRNA from 1 species
GGGCCACACAUGAGGCAUAUGGAAGCUCCCAGAACAAUACCAGACAGUUCAAACAGACCUUCAGUCAAGAAACAACCAAGACAGACCAAUCUCUACUCACUCAAGUAAUGCCCUCCCCUCUCUCAGCACUCUCGCUCUCAGGUGACUGAGGGCAGCUAAGUAAGACAGAGAUUCCUAUUGAAGUAUUACUUGGAUUUAUAAAGCUAGAUUGAUCUCACACAGACUUAUGAUUCUUCACCUAUUUCAUGACAGUUACUAGCUUAAUAACUACUUAUGUCCUCUGCCUACAAAACACUUGUUACUUAAUGAGAAUGAGAAACACAGGCAUAAAAGAAUUAUUUUGAAAGGGAGAAUAUUAUCACUGUUGACUAAAAUUAAAUUCUCAGAUGGGGAAAGAGAGAGCUUACAAAAUUACCUGAAACUUGGGAAGAAAAACAGUACUGUAUAAAGUAACUUCAGACUGAUUACAGAAAAAUGAUCAGGAAGGAAAGUCCAAUAUCCAACCACUAGAAGAGAGAUAACACAUCUUCAAAAUGCUAGUUUCUUUAGCUUUCUCAUGUAGCCAACACAUAAAACAAAAUCAAAGAGCAACCCUAUGGUUUACCAAUUCAAAUAUCCCAGUCAUAAUGGAGGGAAAGGAAAGCACAUCUGUGUUUUCCUGCCUUAUUUCUGAGAAGCCUUUGAAACACAAUAAUGACAGAAAGAUUAAAGAGCUAAAUAUAUAUCCCAAACUCCGAUGUACUGGUAACCAUUACUAUCAGUUGAUUAACAGGCCUCCAAUCUGUGAAGAUUCCAUGAUUCUAUAGAUAAGCUAUUUGUUCUACUUUACAAAAACUAACAACUUUGAUCACAAUGAAAUCAUCAUUCUGUAAAUGAGCUUUUCCAGUUCAGGAAAAAGAAAAAGAAUUAGUUUACGAGGGACUCUCAUCUUCAGGCAUGAAGUUCACUUGACAAGUUACUGUUAUUAAAAUUUAAGAACCCAUACUUAACAAGUUCAAUAGGCUUCUAAUGAUCUCGUAUAUCUGUACAAACCCCACUGCCCUUAUUCAGAACUUUUCCUAAUUCAAUUGAUAAAAUGGAUUAAUCUUAUUUAGAAGCAGUGAGACAAGUAAAAUGGAUCAAAAUAAAGGGACAAUGUCUCUCACAGACCAGAUGUGACUUCUUUCAGGUCUCUCUCCUCUAAUUUGUUACUUUCACAGAAACAUUUAACACUGAUCUACUAUCCCUGAUUAGUGCACUGUACUGUAAGCAGAUUAAAUGUGUCAGACAAAAACUUCUCAAACUAUUUCAUGAAGGACUAGAUUUUUUUUUUUUAAUUUCCAAUUCAGCAUAGAAGGAAAAAUUCUAAAAAUUCCUAGGGACAAAAUUGAAAUUUACAAGAUACUAAACUUAAGCCCAAAGUUUUAGCAGACUCAACAGAUAUAAAUUUACACUGCCAAAUUACUAAACACAUAUUCUCAUUAUUCUUUAUACUUCUCUCAUCAUGGACAGUGACAAAGAGCAGAUCAGCCCUGAUUCAGGGUCUGCCUCAUUUUGAACAGCAGUGUGUUAUGAGACCUCUCCAGACUGCCACAUUUUACAUUCUUAACACCUACAGACAGUUUUUCAAAGUGCUUCCAUUAUAAAUAUCAUUUGUAAUACUCCGUGACAAAACUGAUGUUCUGCAAUACAGACGGAGAACAAAGUUCAGGUAAAGCAACCAAGGUUUCACAGAGUUAAGGGAUGAAUGAGGGACAAAUUACAAGUUUUUUAUUCAUUCCAAGCAGUCUAUUCCUAAACAACUCAGCACAGUAACUCAAAUAGAUUAAUGAGCUGAAAAACAAAUAAAAAACUAAAAGCAAAAUGUUCCUUUAGAUUACCUUUUUUAAAAAGGUACUAAGAAAUACUCUACUGAACACUCAUAUCUUAACCAACAAAAAUCACUUUCAUAUGAGCACAUACUGUCUAAAAAGGUAUGUUUAUACAAAGAUCCCAGAAGAUAUUUACAGCAUAAACAGAGAAAUUUGUGUAAGUUCAAAAUGAAAAUCUAAAUCCUAGCUAAAUAGGAGGAAAUUAGGUAUUAUACAUAGCAAUUACAAAAAUACUAUUUCUCAAUAUAUGAAAAUGUAUAAGCUCUGUACAAAUACUUGUUUUCAAAUGUUCAUACAGGAAUUUUUCUAUUACCAAAUAAAUCGCUUCCAAAAGUCCAUCAAAAAAGAUAACACUACAGAUGAGAUGCAUUGUUACAAAGGCAUUCUACCUGGAAUUUGGUCUUCUCUAUCAUAUUUCAAGAUAUAUUUCAAGAUAUCUUUUUAAAAAAUUUUUUCAAAAAAUUAAUGGUCUAGGUUACUUUUUUCAUUUAAACAACAAAUAUUCAUGCAGUAUCUAUUAUAUUCCGAGGUGGGAGAAAUAUAUUACUGAAUAAAUAAGACAGCUAAGGUUGCUACUCUAACAGAGCUUAUAGUAUGAAGGGGUAUGAACACCAUU